AAUUUCUGCAAUAAGACUUUCUCUUCUCAGUUCUUCUGGAAUCAGGAAAAGCUGGGUUGAGAAGGCAAAAAAAAAGAAUUU
rnacentral:pre_miRNA from 12 species